UACGGGGGGGGCAAGCGUUGUUCGGAAUUACUGGGCGUAAAGGGCUCGUAGGCGGCCAACUAAGUCAGACGUGAAAUCCCACGGCUCACCCGUGGAACUGCUUGGUAUACUGGGUGUCUUGAGCCACUUAGGGGCUACCGGAACAAAUGGUGGAGCGGUGAAAUGCGUAGAUAUCAUUUGGAACGCCAAUGGUGAAAACAGGUAGCUGGGAGUGUGCUGACGCUGAGACACGAAAGCCAGGGGAGCAAACGGG
rnacentral:rRNA from 1 species